UGCCGAUUCCCACUUUCACUCUUUUGCCUCGAGACUUCCUAGGGAAAAAAGUCUACGAUGGAAUUUUUAUACUAUAGUAAGCUGUUCUCAAUGGGCUUAGCCGCCGUUCAGCAGUGGAAUAUUCCCAUGAUAUAGUCGCUCAGUUGUGAAUUCCUUUCUUGAGUCCAGGAUAUCGGAAAUAACAUCUAUAAAGAGUUGCCGAAACCGGUGCUACACCCAAGCAUGGGCUUUUUCUUUCUCAAUUGAUUUUUCAUUACAUGACUGGGAAUCUUCCUUUCAUCGGUGGCCAAAAGAAAAGCCCAAAGUAUUCACUUACUACCUAAUUCCGAGUUUCAACCGAACUGCUGGCACCCGUUUUCCAAGCUCUUGCUUUUAGGGCAGAUAGAUGGUCAGCUUAGCUAUGAAUUUGACAUGACACGGUCCCUCCGGAGAGUACGAUGUUUGGCUUGCUGCUCUCCCAUCUCAUUAGGGACAAAACCCACCACACGAAAGCUUUUUCAAAGCUAUUCCCACUGCUUCGGAAUCUUACUCUUCACAGGUGGUGCUACUAAAAGCUGGGGAAAUCCUCUUGCAAAGGUCCAAAACUAAGGUUCUUCAUGAACGACUUGCCUGUGAAAAGCAUAUAGCUAUUCAUUCGAAUAUGGGACACCAACUGUGAAGGAGGGUUCCUCGGAUGAUUGCUUCUAUCGACUGUCCUUCUCUAUGUUGACUGGGGAAGCCUCUCAAUGUGCAACCUUACUUUGCUCAGCUAGUGCUACUCUUUCUUUUGGCCUGAUCUCGUAAAGAAAGGAAGGCUCAUGAAUGACCAAUCCCUGGAGGAACACUAUGAUUCUGCUUCUGUCUGGUCGUACUAGGCCAUUAAGGUUUCACUACUUACUAUGUGAAUCUUUNN
rnacentral:lncRNA from 1 species